GACGAACGCUGGCGGCGUGCCUAAUACAUGCAAGUUGAGCGCUGAAGGUUGGUCCUUGUACCUACUGGAUGAGCAGCGAACGGGUGAGUAACGCGUCGGGAAUCUGCCGUUGAGCGGGGGACAACAACCGCAAACGAAUGCUAAUACCGCAUAAAAACUUUAGACACAAGCUUUAAGUGUGAAAGAUGCAAUUGCAUCACUCGAAGAUGAUCCCGCGUGGUAUUAACUAGUUGGUGAGGUAAAUGCUCAACAAGGCGAUGAUCCAUAGCCGGCCUGAGAGGGUGAUCGGCCGCAUUUGGACGGAGACAAGGACCAAACUCCCACGGGAGGCAGCAGUAGGGGAGCUUCGGAGAUGGACGGAAGUAUGACUGAGGAAGGGCGCGUGAGUGAAGAGGGGUUUCGGAUCGUAAAACUCUGUUGGUAGCGAGGGAAGUUGGUGUGAGUGGAAAGCUCAUGGAUUGACGGUAACUGCACAGAAAGCGACGGCUAACUACGUG
rnacentral:rRNA from 1 species